rnacentral:tRNA from 1 species
CAGGGAGACUACAAAAUGUUUAAUUUUAUAAUUUUGUCACCUUAGGUCGAUCGGUAUCUCACGUUCUUAAUUAAUUAAGAAUUUCAUUUCCUAAGUUUUUCUAGGUCACACCCAUUAUUUUUCCUGGGCCAUUAGCUCAGGUGGUUAGAGCGCACCCCUGAUAAGGGUGAGGUCCCUGGUUCAAGUCCAGGAUGGCCCAUCUCUCUAUGUUGGGGGUAUAGCUCAGUUGGUAGAGCGCCUGCUUUGCAAGCAGGAUGUCAGCGGUUCGAGUCCGCUUACCUCCACUGAUUACCACCUCUUCCAUAAUCUGUAGAAAGGAAAUGUUUUGAGUUGUGAUCAAAUUCUGAACGAAUCUAGCUUCCUAAUGAAAAUAUUAAGAUGCUGGACUCAUUGAAUCAUCUUCAUUGUUUUCAGAGAACCUUGACAACUGCAUAGAUUAUUUUUAAAGACAAUAAGCAUCUUUAAUGAUGCAGAUUUAUUAUUUGUGCGAAUGCAUUAAUAACAAUUCUAUUAAGCUGAUGCUUCAAUUUUGAAGUUAUU